CUUGUUUCUGAAUAAAUGUAAUAUGACUGUGCGGUGUUUCUUGACAAGGCUUCUGUCAGGAUUGGAUUUGUGCACAAUCAUACACCUUCUCAACCCCAAAUCACAAAAACCAAGACCCCCACUGAAUGUACAGAUGGGGAGAACAUACAAAGACCUUGCACAGAGUGGCCUGGAUAAAAUCAAACCAGAACCCAAAUGCUGCCAAUGCCUCCACUACACUGGCCAUCAGUUGCUUGAUAGGGGAAUCAUAAGUUCUGAUCAGUCCCCCUGUUGGCCUGAACAACAAAACAAUGGAAAGCUCGUCUGAUCAGUUGGAUAUUGUAGGAUCAACCAGCAAGUGGCCACCACCAAACUUCAAGGUAAGUCAGGAACACCUUUAGAGCAUGGCAAAAUAAUGAUAAUAUGUUCACCUUGCAAAUAUUUCCAUUACACAAAUAUAAAAAUGAUAUGAUGGCU